UCUUUCAGGCCUUUCCCAAUAACUGUACAAGAAUGCAGAAUGAAUCAGAACAGUCAUUUACAUUUCAUUUGAAUGCAGUGCUUUCCCCAUAGCAAGUAUUGCCGAGCAUGUGAAAGAUAUGUCACCAAACCUUGCCUUUUACAUACGAAUAGAAGAACAACAUAUGUGUUAUCAAUGAGGUUUAAGUACAUGGGAAAAUUACCCUCUAUUUACAUCACAGCUGUUUCUGAGCCUGCUGCAGCUCUGGUGUCAUGGGCAAACUGGACUCGAGGUACACUGAAGCAGGACAAAUAAGGAUCACUUUCAUGUGCACAAACAGUACAGAAAGAAGUGAAGUUGAAGAAGUGUUCCUAGUAAAACACAGAGGCCUCAGAAAUUGCUGGUACAAAUACAAAGGAAAAGGCUCUUUUCUGAAGAUCUUGCAUGAGCUAAGGUGGAGAGGAACCAAGCAUUCUUCUCCAUAUUCUACAGCUCUGGAUUUGCAGCAUGGAGAACUUGAUUUGCAUGCCACUACCCAUGAGGAGAGACGUGUAAUGAGGAGUUAA
rnacentral:lncRNA from 1 species